CAGGCAGAUGAGUGCUAGUGUUAGAGGGUUUCCGCCCUUUAGUGCUGCAGCAAACGCAUUAAGCACUCCGCCUGGGGAGUACGGUCGCAAGACUGAAACUCAAAGGAAUUGACGGGGGCCCGCACAAGCGGUGGAGCAUGUGGUUUAAUUCGAAGCAACGCGAAGAACCUUACCAGGUCUUGACAUCCUCUGACAACCCUAGAGAUAGGGCUUCCCCUUCGGGGGCAGAGUGACAGGUGGUGCAUGGUUGUCGUCAGCUCGUGUCGUGAGAUGUUGGGUUAAGUCCCGCAACGAGCGCAACCCUUGAUCUUAGUUGCCAGCAUUCAGUUGGGCACUCUAAGGUGACUGCCGGUGACAAACCGGAGGAAGGUGGGGAUGACGUCAAAUCAUCAUGCCCCUUAUGACCUGGGCUACACACGUGCUACAAUGGGCAGAACAAAGGGCAGCGAAGCCGCGAGGCUAAGCCAAUCCCACAAAUCUGUUCUCAGUUCGGAUCGCAGUCUGCAACUCGACUGCGUGAA
rnacentral:rRNA from 1 species